CAAAAGGAUAACAAGCUGCUGUCCAGAGAGUCUUCGGCAGGACCUUUUUUGUGUGUUCAGUGUGCAGACUACAGGGAGAGAAAGGCAGCGCGACGUCAAAGAACCCGGACCAGUAAGUUGCAGCUGGAAACGUAGCAAUCUUGGAAGCUCAAGAUUGGAACCUCGGGGAUCAACAAGGUGAAAUGAAUGGGGAGAUUGUAUGAGAUCAUGCUGAGGUGCUGUAACAAGGCCUUCUGAACAGUUCAUCAGAUAGAAAGUUAAAAGAUGAGCAUCAGAAGAGUAUGACUGAAUGGAUUUAUAAUCACUUGACAGCAACAAAGCCAACGAAGCAGCCACAUACAGUACUAUAUUAAUAUAAAAAGAACAGUACAAUUCAAGAGACUGAAUGAAAUUGGAGAGGGACCAUCUUCCAAACUUUACUAUGUUGCUACAGUGGAUUGACAAUGUGUAUCGGUUCACACAGUACCAUUGUGUUACCUGUGGUUUGUUAAUAUGAACAUUUUCUACCAAUGUUUCAUGCUAUUGUAGUUUGUCUUGUGCUGCAGUUGCCCAGAACAUUACUAUUGGUAAAGAGCUGUUGCAAUGCCAUUUUAGUGCCAUUAGUGCAAGAUUUACAAUAAAAACAUUUAUUGCUACAUUUUAUAAGUUUCUUUUGUUAUUAUGACAUAUACCACCUUUAUAGUUAUGGGUGAAUUGCCACUGCAAUGCUAUUGAAGAUCAUUUGUUAAAUGCACUAUGAAUUAAUUAAUUUAAACUUCGUAUGUAGCCUGUUUUGUUUUUGGUUGAUGAAGAAUUCCCCUAUUGGGUUGUCUUUCUACAUUGACAAAUUAGCCCUCACACACACAUACAAAAAUGCUUGCAACGUAUACCACGAUGCAUUUAUCCAAAGUAAUUGACCUACAAAAGAUGCAACUGCUGUUCGAAAAAAAAACAAAACAAAUACAGUUGCAUGACAAAUGACGCACACACACACAGAGAAAAUUUGAUACAAAUAGCAAAAUAGAAACAAAAGAUGAGAAUCCAGCAACAGGCGCUGA